rnacentral:rRNA from 1 species
CGCUGGCGGCGUGCCUAAUACAUGCAAGUCGAGCGGACAGAAGGGAGCUUGCUCCCGGAUGUUAGCGGCGGACGGGUGAGUAACACGUGGGUAACCUGCCUGUAAGACUGGGAUAACUCCGGGAAACCGGAGCUAAUACCGGAUAGUUCCUUGAACCGCAUGGUUCAAGGAUGAAAGACGGUUUCGGCUGUCACUUACAGAUGGACCCGCGGCGCAUUAGCUAGUUGGUGGGGUAAUGGCUCACCAAGGCGACGAUGCGUAGCCGACCUGAGAGGGUGAUCGGCCACACUGGGACUGAGACACGGCCCAGACUCCUACGGGAGGCAGCAGUAGGGAAUCUUCCGCAAUGGACGAAAGUCUGACGGAGCAACGCCGCGUGAGUGAUGAAGGUUUUCGGAUCGUAAAGCUCUGUUGUUAGGGAAGAACAAGUGCGAGAGUAACUGCUCGCACCUUGACGGUACCUAACCAGAAAGCCACGGCUAACUACGUGCCAUGCAGCCGCGGUAAUACUGUAGGUGGCAAGCUGUUGUCCGGAAAUUAUUGGGCGUACAAGGGCUCGCAGGGCGGUUUCUUAAUGUCUUGAUGUGAAAGCCCCCCCGGCUCAACCGGGGAGGGUCAUUGGGAAACUGGGAUAACUUGAGUGCAGAAGAGGAGAGUGGAAUUCCCACGUGUAGCGGUGAAAUGCGUAGAGAUGUGGAGGACACACCAGUGGCGAAGGCGACUCUCUGGUCUGUAACUGACGCUGAGGAGCGAAAGCGUGGGGAGCGAACAGGAUUAGAUACCCUGGUAGUCCACGCCGUAAACGAUGAGUGCUAAGUGUUAGGGGKGUUUCCGCCCCUUAGUGCUGCAGCUAACGCAUUAAGCACUCCGCCUGGGGAGUACGGUCGCAAGACUGAAUACUCAAAGGAAUUGACGGGGGCCGCGCACAAGCGGUUGGAGCAUGUGGUUUAAUUUCGAAAGCAACUGCGAAGAACCUUACCAGGGUCUUGACAUCCUGCUGACAACCCUAGAGAUAGGGCUUUCCCUUCGGGGACAGAGUGACAGGUGGUGCAUGGUUGUCGUCAGCUCGUGUCGUGAGAUGUUGGGUUAAGUCCCGCAACGAGCGCAACCCUUGAUCUUAGUUGCCAGCAUUCAGUUGGGCACUCUAAGGUGACUGCCGGUGACAAACCGGAGGAAGGUGGGGAUGACGUCAAAUCAUCAUGCCCCUUAUGACCUGGGCUACACACGUGCUACAAUGGACAGAACAAAGGGCUGCAAGACCGCAAGGUUUAGCCAAUCCCAUAAAUCUGUUCUCAGUUCGGAUCGCAGUCUGCAACUCGACUGCGUGAAGCUGGAAUCGCUAGUAAUCGCGGAUCAGCAUGCCGCGGUGAAUACGUUCCCGGGCCUUGUACACACCGCCCGUCACACCACGAGAGUUUGCAACACCCGAAGUCGGUGAGGUAACCUUUAUGGAGCCAGCCGCCGAAAGGUGGGGCA